UCAAGUGAAGAAGCGCAUACGGUGGAUGCCUUGGCAGUCAGAGGCGAUGAAAGACGUGGUAGCCUGCGAAAAGCUUCGGGGAGUCGGCAAACAGACUGUGAUCCGGAGAUGUCUGAAUGGGGGAACCCAGCCAUCAUAAGAUGGUUAUCUUACACUGAAUACAUAGGUGUAAGAGGCGAACCAGGGGAACUGAAACAUCUAAGUACCCUGAGGAAAAGAAAUCAACCGAGAUUCCCUUAGUAGUGGCGAGCGAACGGGGACCAGCCCUUAAUUUGUAUUGAGAUUAGCGGAACGCUCUGGAAAGUGCGGCCAUAGUGGGUGAUAGCCCUGUACGCGAAAAUCCCUUUGCAAUGAAAUCGAGUAGGACGGGGCACGAGAAACCUUGUCUGAAUAUGGGGGGACCAUCCUCCAAGGCUAAAUACUACUGACUGACCGAUAGUGAACCAGUACCGUGAGGGAAAGGCGAAAAGAACCGCGGAGAGCGGAGUGAAAUAGAUCCUGAAACCGUAUGCGUACAAGCAGUGGGAGCCCACUUUGUUGGGUGACUGCGUACCUUUUGUAUAAUGGGUCAGCGACUUAUUUUCAGUGGCGAGCUUAACCGAAUAGGGGAGGCGUAGCGAAAGCGAGUCUUAAUAGGGCGUCUAGUCGCUGGGAAUAGACCCGAAACCGGGCGAUCUAUCCAUGGGCAGGUUGAAGGUUGGGUAACACUAACUGGAGGACCGAACCGACUACCGUUGAAAAGUUAGCGGAUGACCUGUGGAUCGGAGUGAAAGGCUAAUCAAGCUCGGAGAUAGCUGGUUCUCCUCGAAAGCUAUUUAGGUAGCGCCUCAUGUAUCACUGUAGGGGGUAGAGCACUGUUUCGGCUAGGGGGUCAUCCCGACUUACCAAACCGAUGCAAACUCCGAAUACCUACAAGUGCCGAGCAUGGGAGACACACGGCGGGUGCUAACGUCCGUCGUGAAAAGGGAAACAACCCAGACCGUCAGCUAAGGUCCCAAAGUCAUGGUUAAGUGGGAAACGAUGUGGGAAGGCUUAGACAGCUAGGAGGUUGGCUUAGAAGCAGCCACCCUUUAAAGAAAGCGUAAUAGCUCACUAGUCGAGUCGGCCUGCGCGGAAGAUGUAACGGGGCUCAAACCAUGCACCGAAGCUACGGGUAUCACCUUUGGUGAUGCGGUAGAGGAGCGUUCUGUAAGCCUGUGAAGGUGAGUUGAGAAGCUUGCUGGAGGUAUCAGAAGUGCGAAUGCUGACAUGAGUAACGACAAUGGGUGUGAAAAACACCCACGCCGAAAGACCAAGGUUUCCUGCGCAACGUUAAUCGACGCAGGGUUAGUCGGUCCCUAAGGCGAGGCUGAAAAGCGUAGUCGAUGGAAAACAGGUUAAUAUUCCUGUACUUCUGGUUAUUGCGAUGGAGGGACGGAGAAGGCUAGGCCAGCCUGGCGUUGGUAGUCCAGGUUUAAGGUGGUAGGCUGAGAUCUUAGGUAAAUCCGGGAUCUUAAGGCCGAGAGCUGAUGACGAGUGUUCUUUUAGAACAUGAAGUGGUUGAUGCCAUGCUUCCAAGAAAAGCUUCUAAGCUUCAGGUAACCAGGAACCGUACCCCAAACCGACACAGGUGGUUGGGUAGAGAAUACCAAGGCGCUUGAGAGAACUCGGGUGAAGGAACUAGGCAAAAUGGCACCGUAACUUCGGGAGAAGGUGCGCCGGUGAGGGUGAAGCAUUUACUGCGUAAGCCAACGCCGGUCGAAGAUACCAGGCCGCUGCGACUGUUUAUUAAAAACACAGCACUCUGCAAACACGAAAGUGGACGUAUAGGGUGUGACGCCUGCCCGGUGCCGGAAGGUUAAUUGAUGGGGUUAGCGCAAGCGAAGCUCUUGAUCGAAGCCCCGGUAAACGGCGGCCGUAACUAUAACGGUCCUAAGGUAGCGAAAUUCCUUGUCGGGUAAGUUCCGACCUGCACGAAUGGCGUAACGAUGGCGGCGCUGUCUCCACCCGAGACUCAGUGAAAUUGAAAUCGCUGUGAAGAUGCAGUGUAUCCGCGGCUAGACGGAAAGACCCCGUGAACCUUUACUAUAGCUUUGCACUGGACUUUGAAUUUGCUUGUGUAGGAUAGGUGGGAGGCUUUGAAGCGUGGACGCCAGUCUGCGUGGAGCCAACCUUGAAAUACCACCCUGGCAACUUUGAGGUUCUAACUCAGGUCCGUUAUCCGGAUCGAGGACAGUGUAUGGUGGGUAGUUUGACUGGGGCGGUCUCCUCCUAAAGAGUAACGGAGGAGUACGAAGGUGCGCUCAGACCGGUCGGAAAUCGGUCGUAGAGUAUAAAGGCAAAAGCGCGCUUGACUGCGAGACAGACACGUCGAGCAGGUACGAAAGUAGGUCUUAGUGAUCCGGUGGUUCUGUAUGGAAGGGCCAUCGCUCAACGGAUAAAAGGUACUCCGGGGAUAACAGGCUGAUACCGCCCAAGAGUUCAUAUCGACGGCGGUGUUUGGCACCUCGAUGUCGGCUCAUCACAUCCUGGGGCUGAAGCCGGUCCCAAGGGUAUGGCUGUUCGCCAUUUAAAGUGGUACGCGAGCUGGGUUUAGAACGUCGUGAGACAGUUCGGUCCCUAUCUGCCGUGGACGUUUGAGAUUUGAGAGGGGCUGCUCCUAGUACGAGAGGACCGGAGUGGACGAACCUCUGGUGUUCCGGUUGUCACGCCAGUGGCAUUGCCGGGUAGCUAUGUUCGGAAAAGAUAACCGCUGAAAGCAUCUAAGCGGGAAACUUGCCUCAAGAUGAGAUCUCACUGGAACCUUGAGUUCCCUGAAGGGCCGUCGAAGACUACGACGUUGAUAGGUUGGGUGUGUAAGCGCUGUGAGGCGUUGAGCUAACCAAUACUAAUUGCCCGUGAGGCUUGACCAU
rnacentral:rRNA from 1 species